rnacentral:Y_RNA from 1 species
GGUUGGUAACCGAGUGCAGUGGUGCUUACAGCUAAUUUAUCACAACCAGUUACAGAUGCCUUUGUUCCUUUUCCAUUCCCACUGCUCCACUUAACCAGCCUUUA